rnacentral:rRNA from 1 species
AUUGAACGCUGGCGGCAUGCCUAACACAUGCAAGUCGAACGGCAGCACGGGUAGUUCCUCCUCUUGCCGAUUGCCGCAGGCGUGCGUAUUACAUCUGCAUAUGUCCCUUAUUUGUCGUUGGCCCGUCCGUAGCCGCAUUUAUACUACUUCCUAAUACCUCCUACAGGCGGGAGCCCUUGGUCCUCCGCGCUUUCGUGUUUGCCGAUGCCGGAUUAGCUAGUUGGUGGGGUAAAGGUCUACCAAGGCGACGACCAGUAGCUGGUCUGAGAGGACGAUCAGCCACACUGGAACUGAGACACGGUCCAGACUCCUACGGGAGGCAGCAGUGGGGAAUAUUGGACAAUGGGCGAAAGCCUGAUCCAGCAAUGCCGCGUGUGUGAAGAAGGCCUUCGGGUUGUAAAGCACUUUUGUUAGGAAAGAAAAACUGUGGGAUAAUACGGGCGGGGGAUGACGGUACCGAAAGAAUAAGCACCGGCUAACUACGUG